rnacentral:lncRNA from 1 species
UCUGCACUCAUGAAUCACAUCUUGUAAAUGACAGAACACUUUACAACAUACAAUAUACUAUUGCUCCACCAUGUCGUCAAUAAUUCUAAAUCGAGAAAUUUUAUUUUGGCCAGGAGCUGAAGUUGGUUGUUUAGUAGUAGUAGUUUGAGUAGUGACCGAAGUAGUAGUCUGGUGUGUGGUAAUUGGGGCAGCUGUGGUCUCUUGUGGAGCUGGGGAAGACGGUGGAGCUGGUGUAGUUGCAGAAGGUGUGGGUGGGGCAGCUGUGGUCUCUGGUGGAGCUGAGGAAGAUGGUGGAGCUGGUGUAGUUGCAGAAGGUGUGGGUGGGGCAGCUGUGGUGUCUUGUGGAGCUGGGGAAUUCACUGGUGCUAAUGUAGCUACAGAAGAGCUUGUGUUAACAUUUUCUCUUGAAGAUAUGGUGGUGGCAUUCUGGGGAAGAAAAGUCACAUUUGGAAGGGUAGUAAUUUUGGUGGAAGCUUAGGCCUACAGCGUUUGUGCAGACAUUUAUAGGACUUUCUAAUGAACGGCUUCUGGUGAGCUAGCAGU